GGGAGCUUGCUCCCGGAUGUUAGCGGCGGACGGGUGAGUAACACGUGGGUAACCUGCCUGUAAGACUGGGAUAACUCCGGGAAACCGGAGCUAAUACCGGAUAGUUCCUUGAACCGCAUGGUUCAAGGAUGAAAGACGGUUUCGGCUGUCACUUACAGAUGGACCCGCGGCGCAUUAGCUAGUUGGUGGGGUAAUGGCUCACCAAGGCGACGAUGCGUAACCGACCUGAGAGGGUGAUCGGCCACACUGGGACUGAGACACGGCCCACACUCCUACGGGAGGCAGCAGUAGGGAAUCUUCCGCAAUGGACGAAAGUCUGACGGAGCAACGCCGCGUGAGUGAUGAAGGUUUUCGGAUCGUAAAGCUCUGUUGUUAGGGAAGAACAAGUGCGAGAGUAACUGCUCGCACCUUGACGGUACCUAACCAGAAAGCCACGGCUAACUACGUGCCAGCAGCCGCGGUAAUACGUAGGUGGCAAGCGUUGUCCGGAAUUAUUGGGCGUAAAGGGCUCGCAGGCGGUUUCUUAAGUCUGAUGUGAAAGCCCCCGGCUCAACCGGGGAGGGUCAUUGGAAACUGGGAAACUUGAGUGCAAAAGAGGAGAGUGGAAUUCCACGUGUAGCGGUGAAAUGCGUAUAGAUGUGGAGGAACACCAGUGGCGAAGGCGACUCUCUGGUCUGUAACUGACGCUGAGGAGCGAAAGCGUGGGGAGCGAACAGGAUUACAUACCCUGGUAGUCCACGCCGUAAACGAUGAGUGCUAAGUGUUAGGGGGUUUCCGCCCCUUAGUGCUGCAGCUAACGCAUUAAGCACUCCGCCUGGGGAGUACGGUCGCAAGACUGAAACUCAAA
rnacentral:rRNA from 1 species